rnacentral:lncRNA from 1 species
CCAGAUGAAGAUACAUUUUAAAUUGACUGCCACAUGAAGUGGGAGAGUUAAUAUUGCUCUGAGAUAAAACAAUAAAGUAUUGAUAGAACCCAGCGCACUCUAAAAGCCUGAGGACCAUUGAGCACAAAUGUGAGCUAGGUAGCUUGCAGCAACUAAAGAGAAUCCACAAUGCUACAGACACCAGAGGAUGCAAAAUAUUAUAAGCUGCAUUAAAUAAAGAAACCAGCAAAUUCCUGUAAUUAGGAAAUUACCCACACAAGUCCAGAGAAGAUAUAUCUACAGAAAAGGAUGACAGAACAGAAGUGAAAUAACUCCAGGAUCAUGAUGCUGAUCUGUGGUAGAACCAGUGUGAGCCCAGGCCAUCUGCUUUCAGACACCACACUCUUGAUCACUACCCAUCCAGUCAAGGCACUCAACUGUAAUUGUCCAACCUUAAUUGUACUCCAUGUUUUGUUCACCUCAAAAGAGAAAGACCUUCUCUGGGAUUGAGUUUUCACUCAUAGGUGAGAACAAGCAAGAUUCUAGCCUAGUUCCCAACCUGAGUCAGUUUGAAGCAAAGUACUGGAUAAUAAUAUAUGCC